CCGGAGGACUGGACGCGGUCGCUGCCGGCGGGAAACCGCCGGGGGAGGAAAGUCCGGACUCCAACGGACGGCAUGCUUGCUAACGGCAAGGCGCGGUGACGCGACGGAAAGUGCAGCAGAGAGCAGACCGCCCGCCCUCGACCCUCGGGGUCCGAGAGGAUCCCAGGGAUUGUCGAGGGCAGGCAAGGGUGAAACGGUGCGGUAAGAGCGCACCGCUCGGCCGGCGACGGUCCGAGGCGAUGGCAAACCCCAUGUGGAGCAAGACCAAAUAGGGAGAGCGGAUCGGGUUGUCCGUCCCGGUUCCGGCCGCUCGCGGCGCGGGACGUUCUCCGGGUAGGUCGCAUAGAUGAAUGGCCGCCUCCCGAAGCCCUCGGGCUAUGGGAUGAACAGAAUCCGGCUUACGAGGUCCUCCGGCACU
rnacentral:RNase_P_RNA from 1 species